rnacentral:pre_miRNA from 1 species
AAUAGAUGACGCCGUUGACUUUUUCUCACAUGUUUUGACCAUUCGUUUUAUUCAAAAAAUUUACAUAAUUAUAAAUUAUUUUGUUAUGAGUUGUUUUAUCACUCAUAGUACUUUAAGUGUGAUUUAUAUCUUAUACAUUUGUAUAAUUUUUUUUGAAUAAGACGAAUGGUCAAACAUAUGAGAAAAAAUCAAUGGCGUUAUCUAUU